GAUGAACGCUGGCGGCGUGCCUAAUACAUGCAAGUCGAGCGAACAGACGAGGAGCUUGCUCCUCUGACGUUAGCGGCGGACGGGUGAGUAACACGUGGAUAACCUACCUAUAAGACUUGGAUAACUUCGGGAAACCGGAGAUACUACCGGAUAAUAUAUUGAACCGCAUGGUUCAAUAGUGAAUGACGGUUUUGCUGUCACUUAUAGAUGGAUCCGCGCCGCAUUAGCUAGUUGGUAAGGUAACGGCUUACCAAGGCAACGAUGCGUAGCCGACCUGAGAGGGUGAUCGGCCACACUGGAACUGAGACACGGUCCAGACUCCUACGGGAGGCAGCAGUAGGGAAUCUUCCGCAAUGGGCGAAAGCCUGACGGAGCAACGCCGCGUGAGUGAUGAAGGUCUUCGGAUCGUAAAACUCUGUUAUUAGGGAAGAACAAAUGUGUAAGUAACUAUGCACGUCUUGACGGUACCUAAUCAGAAAGCCACGGCUAACUACGUG
rnacentral:rRNA from 1 species